ensembl:lncRNA
CGAGUAGAAGAAGGACGGAACGGCAACAACAAACAUGGAGGCGGCUCCGUUCGUCGGCUUCUCUCCGGAGCGCUACUGGACGGAGGAGAAGGAGAGGGCGCUCAUUGCGUUUUUCUCCAAGAACAGUUGUCUUUGGAACCACAAGUCUGAGCACUACAAGAACCGCCAGCUACGAUGGAAAACCCUGGAACACCUGAGAAUCCUCCUGUCCACUCACCCACCUCCUGUUUCUUUCACAGUCGAAGACAUCAAGAACAAGUUCAAGAACCUCCGUACCACCUUCCAGCGUCAGUACAAGAUGGUCAGAGCGAGCAAAGGUUGCAGUUCGGAUGAUGUUUUCGUGCCGCAGUGGAAACACUACCAGCAGCUGAUGUUCCUGCAGGGCUGCUGGGACCAAGACGACGGCAUUGAUGAUCCACCGCUAUCACCGCUGACCAUUCCAGACGAGGAGAACCAGCCGGUCCUCUCCUCUCCAGGACUCAUCAUCUCCUUCCUCCCCACUCCGUCCACCUCCUCCGCCUCCACCUCGUCCUCCUGCAUCCCCUCCAACAUCAUGGUGAAGUGUUACUGGACUGAGGAGAGGGAGCGAGCGCUGAUAUCGUUCUACUCUGAGCACAGCUGUCUGUGGAACAAGAAGUCUGAAAACCACAACAACCGUCAGCUGCGACUGAGGCUGCUGGAGGCUCUGAGGACCCAGCUGUCCGACCACUCGGUGACGUUCUCAGUCGAAGAUGUAAAGUGCAAGUUCAAGAACCUUCGGACUGUGUUUAACCGUGAAUACAAAGCAGUCCAGACCAGCAGGGCGACCGACAAACCCUAUGUGUCCAAAUGGAAACACUACCAGCAUCUGCUCUUCCUCUGCGAGUCAUGCGAGGAAGACGACGCCACAGACGACCUGCAGAUACUGAUGUCGCAGGAGGACAAAGAUCUGGAACAUGGAAACCAGACUCCCUCGUCCACCCUGAGCAGCUUCUCCUGCAGCUCCAACCAAAGCAACAGUGUGAAGCUCAACAACGCCUCCUUUCCCUCCAGCUCCAGCCAGAGCGCCACCAAAACCAACUCCAGUGCUGCGUACCAGAUCUUCCUCUCCACAACCCCGGAUAACCUGAAACUAGCCGAACAAAUGGCAGCUUCCACCCUCCCGUCCUCGCCGUCCAGUUCACUGCCAGACUCCAAACCUUGUGUAAACCCUUCAUCUUUGAAUUUCUCUGCGUCCAGUUCAGUUCAGCCAGACAGCAGACUGAGCGUCGACUCCCGCUGCCUCUGGAGUGAAGCCAAAGUCCAGCAGCUCAUUUCAUUUUACUCCGAACACUGCUGUCUGUGGAACCACAAGUCUGAGAGCUACAGGAACCGUCUGCUGAGACAAAGUCUGUUGGGGACGCUGAGCAUCGCCCUGUCAGACAACGAACCGGUUCCAUUCACAGUGGAAGACAUAAAGACAAAGUUCAGAAACUUGAGAACCAUCUUCCAACGCGAGCACAAAGCGGUGAGCUCCAAUAAAACCUGUGGUUCGGAGGACUUCUACCUCCCCAAGUGGAAACACUACCGUGAGCUCAUGUUCCUGUGCGACUCCUGCGACGAGGACGAGCGGCCAGUUGACCUUCACUUCCACGAACCGCAGGAGCCCCACCUCCUCCACCUGGACAGCCAGGCUCCGCCCCCUUCGCUGCUCUACCACGUUGCCAACCAGACCGCUGCCAAGCUGAACAUCGCGGCCCGGAGCGUCGAAGCCCCACCAUCGCCAACUCCCCCGGACUCCCAGCGCUCCUCGCCGUCCUCGUCCCCGUCCACGUCGUCCUCGCUAACGGACAGCCGGGUGUCUGGACGCAAGCGGGCGAGCCGCCAGGUGUCGCCGACCGCCGACGAGUUUCUAGACUUCAUGAGAACGUUCUGUCAGAAUCAGACGGUGUCGCCGCACACCGGCUUCCUGAGGUACGUGGAGGAGUGUCUGAACGAGACACCGCCGGACAAAGUGAAGAAACUGAAGAAGAAGAUCAUUGAGACGAUUCACAGCAUUUCAGAGGACGCUUAGCGUUUGUUUUAGAGUUUAAACUGCACUCAGUGUAGAGAUUAGAGUCUUAUUCUUAGGACCGACAUUCCUAACAGCUGUGAUGACGUUACUCACAUGCUGUCAUUUCAUUCCAGCUUGCUGACGUCUGACUUUCUGUUCAUUUCGCUUAAGGACGAAUAAGGAUGUUAUGAAAAGACCCAAACUAACAGUGACGUCCUUGCAGUGACCCUCAGCCUCAGGCAGUCUGUUUCCUACUUAAAUGUUUAGAAACGGCUCACAGUAGCUUUUUUUUAUUGAGCAACGUCCACUAUUUACCCUCAAACAAUUGAGAAUUGUGCACAGCCUUGAAAUCACACCAAGAUCCCUGCGAGAACCACGUCAUGGUGGAAUGUCUGUAGCAGUCAGACUACCAGGGCAGAUCAUCGAGAUAUUUGUUUGUCUUUACCGUUGAAAUUCUACGAAUCCUCAAUGCCAAAUUCAGCACCAAAAGACAUAAAUAGAAUGUAUUUCAACAUAAACAAUGUGCUAACGAAGAAACACAACAUUAUGUUUUGGCAGACUGAGUGGUACAAGCUACAGUCAGCUAACAUUAUGAGCCUAAAAAAACUAACUUUAGCCUCUGUCGACAUUGUGCUGCUACAGUUUACAAAAUAAAGUAACGUUUGAGGAUGUCAAAGAGUGACAUGUUAACAACUGAAACUCUCUCAGCACAGGUCCAUGAGUCUGACUUUGGUUGUCUAGAAUUCGUCCCUGAUCGUCCGACUUUAACACUAAAUACUUUCAUACUUGUACUCGCUACGGCCAUUCCACAUGUUAAUGUUCUUUAGUAUAUCCAACAUUUACAGCACCACAGAAAAACAAGAAUUUGGCAUUGACUUAGUACCAAACUGAAGUUCUUGAUUUGUACUUAUGGGGUCUUUCGUAUGAUACAAACCUUCCCAUUUUGGUGAUACACAGGUUUUAUUGCCGAGGACUGUACUAUGAAGCAAGCCGAACAUAUCCAGGCUCCAAAAACUCCAGUCAGGUAAACAAAGUUUUCUUUAUCAGGCUUUUAGCGUGCACAUAUAAAUGUCAUGCGACUCUUCUUCCACACAAAAUGGACUUAAUGUGCCACUUACUUCACUCAACAUGAACACGUUUUUAUAAUGUAGAGCUGUGAGGAAUCUAAACUUUUUUUACGGUUAAAAGUGCAGUUUCUGCAAGAGCAAACUGUUGAUAGAAAACUGUUAAUUGUGGAAAUAUAUUUGUCUUCCCACAUAGUGACUCUCAAUGCAGAUGAUUAUUUCUAACACGACUGAUGCACUUUAGAUCUGUUAAACGUUCAACUUCAUUCAUUCAAACGUGACACUAAUGAUGUGCGUUUAGUCUUAAGUCACUUUAGUUUUUGGAUGAUUGUAUAUUCUCUGUGAUAAAUACCAAUAGAUUGAUCAGUUUUAUAAUCUGUCUUCUAUCAGCUGUGGUUCCAGCAGCAUAUGAUGGUCUUUGCAGUAGGGCUGGUCCUGAAUAUCCGGAUAUCCAAAUAUUCGGUUGUUACGGUGGUAUCCGAAUAUUUAUUUUGAGAUCCGAAUAUUGGGAUUGCGUUUUCUGCAUCUGGAUAUAGGUUCCUGUGGCAACACGAUGCAUAAAGUUUGAGAUUCUGCAACUGUACAACGUUGUUCAGUAGGUUUAAUAACAUACAGUAUAUUGCCAAAAAUAUUCGCUCACCUGCCUAGACUCGCAUAUGAACGUAAGUGACAUCCCAUUCCUAAUCCAUAGGGUUCAAUAUGAUGUCGGUCCACCCUUUGCAGCUAGAACAGCUUCAACUCUUCUGGGAAGGCUGUCCACAAGGUUUAGGAGUGUGUUUAUGUGAAUUUUUGACCAUUCUUCCACAAGCGCAUUUGUGAGGUCACACACUGAUGUUGGACCAGAAGGCCUGGCUCUCAGUCUCCACUCUAAUUCAUCCCAAAGGUGUUCUAUGGAGUUGAAGUCAGGACUCUGUGCAGGCCAGUCAAGUUCAUCCACACCAGACUCUGUCAUCCAUGUCUUUAUGGACCUUGCUUUGUGCACUGGUGCACAGUCAUGUUGGAAGAGGAAGGACCAGCUCCAAACUGUUCCCACAAAGUUGGGAGCAUGGAAUUGUCCAAAAUGUCUUGGUAUGCUGAAGCAUUCAGAGUUCCUUUCACUGGAACUAAGGGGCCAAGCCCAGCUCCUGAAAAACAAGCCCACACCAUAAUCCCCCCUCCACCAAACUUUACACUUGGCACAAUGCAGCCUGACAUGUAUGGUUCUCCUGGCAACCACCAAACCCAGACUCGUCCAUCAGAUUGCCAGAUGGAGAAGCGUGAUUUGUCAUUCCAGAGAAGGCGUCUCCACUGCUCUAGAGUCCAGUGGCAACGUGCUUUACACCACUGCAUCCCAUGCUUUGCAUUGCACUUGGUGAUGUAUGGCUUGGAUGCAGCUGCUCGGCCAUGGAAACCCAUUCCAUGAAGCUCUCUGCUGAAGCACUGUUCUUGAGCUAAUCUGAAGGCCACAUGAAGUUUGAAGGUUUGUAGUGAUUGACUGCAGAAAGUUGGCCACCUCUUGGCACUAUGCUCCUCAGCAUCCACCGACCCCCCUCCAUCAGUUUACAUGUCCUACCACUUGGUGGCUGAGUUGCUGUCGUUCCCACACACUUCCACUUUCUUAUAAUACAGCUGACAGUUGACUGUGGAAUAUUUAGGAGUGAGGAAAUGUCACAACUGGAUUUGUUGUACAGGUGGCAUCCUAUCACAGUUCCAUGCUGGAAUUCACUGAGCUCCUGAGAGCGAGCCAUUCUUUCACAAAUGUUUGUAAAAGCAGUCUGCAUGCCUAGGUGCUUGAUUUUAUACACCUGUGGCCAUGGAAGUGAUUGGAACACCUGAUUCUGAUUAUUUGGAUGGGUGAGCGAAUACUUUUGGCAAUAUAGUGUACAUGUCAACUGAUCUGCAGAUAAAACAUAUUUAUUCAGCUAAGAAACUGAGAAUCAUCAGGAAAACAACUGAUGAUAAACAAAUGAUGAAAGGGAGAUAUUUCUUAAGGAUGAUUUAAAUCCCAAACUUCGAACACGAAGGAGAUGUGUAGCAUCAGGUACCAUGGAGAUCUAGCAGGUUUAAAGAGAUCCACCUUCAUGACAGUAAAAACUCUGACUGUAGACUCAGCAUACCUCAGUAAUCCUGCUUCAUAGUGCAUCCCUGUCACCAUAUUUAGAGCCUAAACAGUAGAAAUGAUGGACAACCUAGAAAAAUAUGUUUCAGGUUGAAGCUAAAAUCGUGUUAGCUGCACUGAGGCUCAUUAAACCAAAAACAAACUGGUCCUCAUGUUCAAGUCUGUGUUGUCUGACUUUUUAGCUUUUGCUGGGCAUUCAGCUUGACGUAACAUUGGACGUUUACACGCCAGUAUUUAGCAUGUUAGCACAUUUUAGGCUUUAACUAAAGUCUAGCCAAGCAGCAGCAUGCUAACAUCAUGUGCUGGCAGAGCUGGAGAUGCUAACAUAACUAGUGGUAGUAGCAUUUCAGCUUAUAUCUGUAAGUUAUUUACAUUAAUAAUCAGUUUUUAAAUGCGUAGAAAUCUGAAUGCUGACACUAGCGAGGUGGUAACUAGAUUAUUGACUUGCCAAAGGUCGCUGUGCUAAUUGACAGCCUUGUGUGCUAGUACCAGUAAAAGCACAACUUAAUUUUACCAAAAGACAUCUUAAAGAGGUAUUUUAACACCUGAGUGUUUCAAAAUUUGUGCCAUGAAUCGUUGCCAAAGUACCAUCCAGAAAACCUUAACAAAAUUACGUCAAACUACAACAGAUAACUGAACAAAAGCUGCUAGCAUUAGCUUAAUUCUCCAUCCUUAAAGCUUGACACGUUGCUUUAUCCUACAGUGACGGGAUUGAUUCCAAAAUGGUGCGUCCACCAUUUAAAACGUGCUUAAAUCCAUUCAUUUUUGAGGACAUCAAGGUGAAACUGUUUUUUAUGCUUGCAGAACGUUAAGAUGUUUAAAACUAAGGAAAACAGUCCUUUGAUACGUUUUUUAAAGUCCUAAACUUGAGAAACUUUUUGACGUGUCAGCUUUACAACAUCGUCACCAAACCAGUUUAGUAAACGCUGAGUUAUAAAACCUACACUGUCAAUAGAAACUGACCUUGUAAAGAUGUAAUCAAACCUUUAAUGUGUCUUUAUUAUUUAAUCUGCUUUAAAGGCAGCGAGUAAUUCUAAUAUUUAAAUACUGUUACUACUUUCUGUUGUUUUUAGUCUGAGAAUGUUACAUUGAGCUUUUCUUUUGUGCAUUUCCUGAGAUUUUAUUACAGUAAUAAGCUUCAGCCAAAAGAAAGUUUAUAAAAUUCUAAGUAGUCGUGUUAAAAUAUGUAAAAAUAUUUGCAUGUGAAGCCUUUUGAAAGACAGUUCUGUUCCACAUGGAGGUUUUGAUUAAAUCAAAAUCUUUUGAUGCACUCUGCUGCUUUUUUAAACAUGUUUUUUGAAUUGCACAUUUGUUUAAGAAUUAUUUGUUCUUUUUUUGUUUGUUUGUUUGGUUUAAACUUCACUCAGUGCCUUAUGGGAGUCCCAGUAACUAACCAUGGUGUGUGUGGUCAUAUUAAAUGUAAAUGUGUAAAUAUAAGUUUCCUUUGUCUUUACAGCCUGAAUCUUGUAUUUUUAUUGAAGCAUCUACUCAAAGCAUCACAGCUUUGGUGGAAAAAAAAACAUGAUUUCAAAUGCGAUAGUUAGCAUUUUAGGUAAAUCAACAAAAGAACACAACAAUUUUAAGAGCCAAAGUUGAACAAAUAAGAAUUAUGAAGUUUAAAUGAAAGAUCUUCUCUAAUACGGUGAAGUUUCAUCGUCUAGAGAAACAAAUGGUU